GGCUCAACUAAACGAGUAAACACAAGACCUUUUCUGGUUCUAUUCCAACGAGAUAUCCCACACCGAUCACAAACUGAAGCUCUUCAGACUUGAUAUCGUGGAAGCUCAACAAUGGUGUUCGUCCCUUCGGGGACAUCCGAUAAAAUUGGAACGAUACAGAGAAGAUUAGCAUGGCCCCUGCGCAAGGAUGACACGCACAAAUCGAGAAAUGGUCCAAAUUUUUUUUUGCCUUGCCGGCGGCGAUUCUCCGGCUGAAAUUUUUUCCUCACUUAUUUUUGCCGGUCGUCGUCGGCGGUGAUGCACUCUUACGAGGUUUCUUAAGCGAGAAGCCUUCCUAUGGCAAAGAUGAAAGAAAGGGACUUCAAUCGAAGGAAUGAUUCUUUUCAAUUAAGUUGUACGAAAUGUAGAGAUAUGAUCCUUUUCUGAAGUCCUCGCGAUUUAAGUUACAAAAGAAGUUUUUCUCCUAGCAUUGUGGCAGCUUAUACAUAAUUAUGCAUUUUGUGGGAUCUAUCCCUGAUUCCCAGAAGAUAGUGGAAGUUGGUUCAACAGAUGGACUGGAAAACGAGAAGACAAUUUUACCUGCUUAAGUGAAUACUGAACUUAUUUUUUUUUUUAAAAACUAACUUAUAAAAUUGCUUGUCUCCGCAAUGCAGCCUGUGGUCUAAGCCACUAGUUUUGUAUGUUGAAAAUUGGUAUGACUUUUGUGUGUCCGAAUAGCGUAAUCAACCAUAUGCUGUUUAUCGAGUUCUCCUUGAAGGCAUUUGUAAUGCGGUAAGAUAAUUUUAUCCUUGCACAUCUUGCGUUUAUCUUUUUUCAUGUAUGUGUUAACAUCAGAAUGUCUAAAUGGCUAAUAUCAUAUGGCACGGGUCAAACAAAAUGGAUUAGGUUCUAUUUACCUUUGCCUCGCAAUCCCCUAACUUCCUUCCUUAAUGAUUUGAUCUGAGAGAGAGGUGGUUUAACUGUGAUUCUCCUAAUUCUCAAAUUAUCUAUUUACCACGUGAGGUGAAUCAGAGUAGGUAACUUUUUAUUUCAAUCUCAGGUUUUGCAAAACACCUAAUUGAAUUGUUAAUGUGGAAUUUAUGCAAUAUGUUUGCUUUAAGACUUAAAUGAUAUGGUACAAUAUAUUUGUCGAUUGUUUUUCUUGGCAAUUCACAGUGGAUUCCUCUGGACCUGGAGGUUGUCCAUAUGCUCAGGUGCCUCUGGAAGUGUGACUACUGAGGAUGUUGCUUCAAUGCUUAUUGGACUAGGAGUGAAGACAAAUGUUGAUCUCAGAAAGCUUGUAUUGGCUGGAGACUUUAUACUUUAUUUGCAAACAUUUUUCGGUCAGCCUUCUGGUUCUGUGUUUGCCCUUGAGCUAUAAGCAACUGGUACUGCCUAAAUCUUAAGAGAAGGAGCUUUACGGCACAAUAAAAACCCUAGCUCAACAUGGGAGUCCGAUAAAAUUAGCAUGGCCCCUGCGCAAGGAUGACACGCACAAAUCGAGAAAUGGUCCAAAUUGUUUUUGCUGAGUUUUUCCGGUCGGCCGCGGCGAUGCUCUCUCCCGAGAUUUCUUGAGGUUCGUAAACCAUUCGAAGUUUUCCUUGUCCCUUUUUAUCUUCUGUACAAAAUUAGUUGACGGGGAUAGGCUUAUUAUGCCCUAGUGUAAUUUUUUAUUCUGAUAUUAAUGUUUUUGUAAAAUUCACUCAUGAAACAUUUAUAAAUAUGAGCACGUACAGUAUAUCCUGCGUGGUCCACAUUUAUAAAUAUGAGAACUUACAGUAUAUCCUGCGUGGUCUUUUGUGUUUCUUCUCUUUGAAUGUAAAUAAAUCUUGAGCCAAAUUGAGUGAUCGUCUAAGUUGCACGGACUCUUCGAUUUUGGUGCCAUCCCCGUCCCGAUACGAGACGGGGACGGGAGCGGGAGCGGGAUACGUCCCGGAUUCGGUCAACUGACUUCGGACACUUUGA